rnacentral:tRNA from 1 species
AACUAAGUAGUGGGGUCCAUGUUAAGUUGCAAACUUAAAGAAGCAAAUGCCUUAGUUA